rnacentral:misc_RNA from 1 species
GAUGAUCCUUUUUAUUACGACAAUACUGUUUUAAGCUAUAAUUAAUAAGAAAAACAAAAAUUUAUUCAAUUUCUAUAUUAAGGUAUACACGAUUACUAACAAUUACAACUUCAUGCCAUUGAGUGUCGGGCAAAUCCAAACUGAAAUCUGCUUUAUGGUAUUUUGCUUGGCUUUUUUGAGUUAUUGUUGCAAACUUGUAACCUAAAACAUAAGAGCGAUAACGAUUUAAUGCAAUCUUUGCCUUCCUCCGACUUAUAACUGGCAAUCUUAUCCGAAUCCCUACCACUAGAUACUGGCAACGAUAAUAAGGAUUUAAGCUCGCUACAAUACUUGUCCUUCUCUCAGACAUCACACUUAGUAAUCUACAUUAUUUCCUAACUAAAAACUAUUUACUAAUGCAGAUCGUUUAUAAAAUAGGCUGCUGAAAAAUACAAUCCUGUUUAAUCCUUGCACUUUAGCGAAACAACUUCGGGUUUUAUCGAAAGCUUGCUUUUGCUUCUAGACAUUUUUCUUAAUAUCAACAGAUCUCAACUUAACCCAGAUUUAACUUCUUGUGUUUCACAUUCCNACAUACUUUAACAAAGUCU